UACGGAGGAUGCAAGCGUUAUCCGGAAUUAUUGGGCGUAAAGCGUCCGCAGGUGGCAAUGUAAGUCUGCUGUUAAAGAGUCUAGCUCAACUAGAUAAAAGCAGUGGAAACUACAUAGCUAGAGUACGUUCGGGGCAGAGGGAAUUCCUGGUGUAGCGGUGAAAUGCGUAGAGAUCAGGAAGAACACCGGUGGCGAAGGCGCUCUGCUAGGCCGUAACUGACACUGAGGGACGAAAGCGUGGGGAGCAAACAGG
rnacentral:rRNA from 1 species